AUUGAACGCUGGCGGCAUGCCUUACACAUGCAAGUCGAACGGCAGCACGGGUGCUUGCACCUGGUGGCGAGUGGCGAACGGGUGAGUAAUACAUCGGAACAUGUCCUGUAGUGGGGGAUAGCCCGGCGAAAGCCGGAUUAAUACCGCAUACGAUCUACGGAUGAAAGCGGGGGACCUUCGGGCCUCGCGCUAUAGGGUUGGCCGAUGGCUGAUUAGCUAGUUGGUGGGGUAAAGGCCUACCAAGGCGACGAUCAGCAGCUGGUCUGAGAGGACGACCAGCCACACUGGGACUGAGACACGGCCCAGACUCCUACGGGAGGCAGCAGUGGGGAAUUUUGGACAAAGGGCGAAAGCCUGAUCCAGCAAUGCCGCGUGUGUGAAGAAGGCCUUCGGGUUGUAAAGCACCUUUGUCCGGAAAGAAAUCCUUGGCCCUAAUACGGUCGGGGGAUGACGGUACCGGAAGAAUAAGCACCGGCUAACUACGUG
rnacentral:rRNA from 1 species